AUCGUGCAUUCUGCCUUCCUUCGUGAAUAGACAUGUGCAACGGAUUGUAAAAAAAUAUGUGGGAACUGGUCAAGCCAGUCAUCGCUCAUUUUUAUGAACUAAUUUGGGAAAUUGAUCUCAGCUUCAAGAAAUAGGGAGGUUUAGGAAGCUUGCUACUUCAUACUGGACCAGAUGCCUAAAAUAUGUGUAGGAUUGCAGCCUGACUGCCUGACAGAGCAUUUCCUGCAUAAUUUAAGAUGUGAGAGAAGGGGAAAAGAAAAACUCAACAACCACGCAGAUAGAUAAAGGCGAUCCCAGAGCUGUUCAAGGAACUAUAAAGGAGAAGAACUACCAUUAUAUUUGCUACUUUGUGGAUACAAAGGGUCAAGUAUGAAAUCAAAAUAUAGGUAACAUUUCAUA